rnacentral:rRNA from 1 species
ACGGGUGAGUAAUGUAUCGGAACGUGCCCAAUCGUGGGGGAUAACGUAGAGAAAUUUACGCUAAUACCGCAUACGAUCUAAGGAUGAAAGCGGGGGAUCGCAAGACCUCGCGCGAUUGGAGCGGCUGAUAUCAGAUUAGGUUGUUGGUGAGGUAAAAGCUCACCAAGCCGACGAUCUGUAGCUGGUUUGAGAGAACGACCAGCCACACUGGGACUGAGACACGGCCCAGACUCCUACGGGAGGCAGCAGUGGGGAAUUUUGGACAAUGGGCGCAAGCCUGAUCCAGCAAUGCCGCGUGCAGGAAGAAGGCCUUCGGGUUGUAAACUGCUUUUGUACGGAACGAAACGGUUCUUUCUAAUAAAGAGAGCUAAUGACGGUACCGUAAGAAUAAGCACCGGCUAACUACGUGCCAGCAGCCGCGGUAAUACGUAGGGUGCGAGCGUUAAUCGGAAUUACUGGGCGUAAAGCGUGCGCAGGCGGUUAUGUAAGACAGUUGUGAAAUCCCCGGGCUCAACCUGGGAAUUGCAUCUGUGACUGCAUAGCUAGAGUACGGUAGAGGGGGAUGGAAUUCCGCGUGUAGCAGUGAAA